GAAGGCUCAUUAAGUCCGUCGAGGACGAGGCAGCAGUAGAGAAUAUUGUGCAAUGUACGGCAGUAUGACACAGAGAGCACACGCCCUCUUGGCCUGUCCAACUAAGUGCCAGCAGACGCGGUUAGACUUAGGGGCCAAGCCUUUAUGAGCAAAGGGGCGUAAAGGGUGUGUAGGCCGACUGCCCCACCCCCCCAAGGUGGUAAAUGGAAUUUUUCUGUAGCGGUAGAAUGUGCGGAUAGAAAAUAGAACCCCAAAAGCAGAAGCAAUUUACCGCGGGGCGGGAGGGGGGGCCCCUUGGGGCGCCCCUCCGGGCUACGGGCUGAAACACGAGGGUGUGGGGAACAAACAGGAUUAGAGACCCUGGUAGUCCACACUGUAAACGAUGGAGAAAAUGCGAAUGCAGCCCCGAAAGGCAGCAAUCUCCCGCCUGAGUAGUACGAUCGCAAGAUUAAAAUUCAAAAAAUUUGGCUGUUCACCGUUUCGAUUAGAGGAGCGUGUAGUUUAAUUCGAUAAACCGCGAGAUACCUUACCCAAACUUGAAUCCUUGAGGAUUCCAAGGAAUCCUUAUGGACCGGUAUUGCAUGGCCGUCGUCAGUUCGUGUAUGAAACCUUAAACGGACCCAACCCGAGGAUUAGCCGCGGAUGAAGUCAGGUCUUAUGGUCCCAAUGUUUGGGGAUAAUAUGCGCUACAUUUUCUUAUACAAUGGGAAACCUGGGAGGUGAAACCCAAAAGUGAGAGUUCGGUAGGCUAUUGGAAGAUGGCCGAAAGUUGAAUUUAAUAGUAAUCGGAAAGUAUAGCGUUCCGGUGAAAAUGGUCUAGGUGUUAGCACAAAUCGCCCGUCACCUUAACUUAGGAUGAUGGUUCGGACGCCGCCGCGCCCCCACGGGCCCCGGCGGUUACGGGCCCCUACGAAGUUAAGCAA
rnacentral:rRNA from 1 species